rnacentral:lncRNA from 1 species
GAGGAAUCGUCUAACAACAGAGGGGCGAUCUCUUCCAAUGAAAAUGAAAAAUGAAAAUGAAAUCUCUUCCCUCAGUAGCAUUUCACCCAAAUCAAGAAAUAGGCGAUGAGCAACAACAGAAAAGCAACAAAUUUUCAAGCAAUUAAAACAUGAACUGGGCGAACCACAACAAGAAAAGAGAGAAGAAAUUUGCAAGAAAUUAAUGAAAUUUGCAGUCGGCAAGGAGCAAGUUCGACGAAUUGAUCUCGAAUCUCGCCGCCGACGUCCCCAACCUACAUGGCCGCCCUUACCUCACCAGAUCUGUCCCAAUUGCCCUCACCUGCAACAUCCUCGCCUUGAAAGGGUUUAGAGACCUGAGUUUUGCAGAGGGUUAGGGGAGAUCAGAGGUGAGAGGCGGAGGCGGAGGAGAUCAGAGGGAGGAGGGCGAAGACAGAUCCGGCGAAGGGCGAAGGACAGAUCCGGCGGGGGCGGCAGGUGAGGGCGAAGGGCGAAGUGCGGCUUCCUCCCUUGACAGAUCCGGCG